AUUUUCUUCAAGAUUUCGUCGUGAUGAAGCAGAUUUAACAUAUAAAAUCAAAGCUUUAUGAGUAUUACAGUGAAUUGAUCGAAUCAAAUGAGGACUAUUUUACAGGAGUAAUCAACAACAUUUACAGCUAUGGUGGCAGCCCAGAUGGUCCAGCAAUGGGCUCAUUUCUUGGACUUGGCAAGGAUGUGUGAGAAUGGAGCGGCAGCCCUGGAUGUGGCAAUGUAUUUAGGACACUCAAUCUCUGUUCAACAGGAACAGAAGAAGAGAAACAUACCUGAAGGCUCUCAGCAGUUUUGAGGAGAGCAGGGAGUUGGCAAUACUGGACGUUGACCUCGCCCUUAUACAUGAAGUCGACGAGUGUUCGGAGUUCUUCCAAACCUACG